UUGCAGUUAUGCAGUCGUGGGCUGCUGUGUUACGACAGUGACGUGUGUUGCCGUAAAGCGUUUUUCCCGCCAUGCGGAGAGUUGGAGACUCAGCACAGUUCACGUGGUUCCACCUUGAGCCCUCCUUCCAUGUCCGUGCGUCCUUGGACAUAACAGGAAUGUCAUUUUAGGAGGGUGCUGGAGCCUAUCCCAGCUGCAUGUGGGCAGAAGGCGGGGUACACCCUGGACAAGUCUCCACCUCAUCGCAGGGCCAACACCGAUACACAGCCCCCAAUAUACUAAUUGCUUGUAUUUCAUCACGUGACUUCUUCUUGCUAAAGUUGGAGAAGAUGUUCAGGACAAAAGGUGGCAUUGCGGGACCCAAAAAGGGACCUUGUCGGAUUCACUAUAUCAGGCAUCCAGGGAGAUGGAGCCUAUCCCAGCUGACUUCAGGUGAAAGGCAGGGUCCACUCUGGACUGUUACCAGUCCUUCACAGGACACACAGACAGGGGAUGUCAUCACUGAGUCGCUCCAAGAAGAAUAUUCUGCAUUCAGUGGCAGGACAUCAGCCAUUAGCCUUCACUCUGCUACUUGGAGACAUCACAAUAGUGUUGGUAUUUUCUUAUCCUUGUGUCAAGAUGGCAUUGGUGCCUUUUUGACAUCACAUGUGAGACUGUGUGCUGGCUGUGGUUAGAGAAGACCAUCAAGUGUCCAUCUCCUUGUUUGAGUGGACACAGCAGGUAGACGUUCUCCACACUGAGCUUCAUUAAGCUGGACAUGCACUUAACACUUACAUUUACUCCAUUCAUGAAUGUGUUAGUUUUUUUUCUCAACUACUUUGGAGGUUCGGAUAAAUUGAAAUAAAAUCAUACGGCGGAAGAAAGACUCCAUAUUUAUAUGAUGGA